CCACAAGUCUUUGAUCGCGGGGUGCAAGUUAUUAUUUCCAACGAAGUGAAUAUAGUAAACGUCGAUAGGGUAAGAUGAAGACUGCUUUGUUUGUUUUGCUGAUAAUUCAACUGAUUACAGUGCCAACGAUGUCUCGCAAUCUGUUUUCAAAUGAUUAUCUUGCGGCACGGCGUUGUCCAACCAAAGCUUGCGAUGUUGAAAAAAAGAACUGUUUCCUGGUAUGCCAUGAUUGUGAAGAAUAUCCUACCAUGUAUAAAGAUUGUUACGGAUGCCAAAGGUGUAAAAACGAAAAGCAGCUAGCGAUCAGACUCUAGUGUAUGCAUUAAGUGACCAAGAAGCAAGUGUCCGGAACUAUAUAUCUUACUUAUAAAACGUAUGAUGAUGGUUACUUAUAACCAUGUAAACAAAGUAUAAUCAAGAUAAAAAUAAAUAAUGGUA